rnacentral:rRNA from 1 species
UACAGAGGGUGCAAGCGUUGUUCGGAAUUAUUGGGCGUAAAGCGCGUGUAGGCGGCUUUGCAAGUCGGGUGUGAAAGCCCUCAGCUCAACUGAGGAAGUGCGCCCGAAACUGCAGAGCUUGAGUACCGGAGAGGGUGGCGGAAUUCCCCAAGUAGAGGUGAAAUUCGUAGAUAUGGGGAGGAACACCGGUGGCGAAGACGGCCACCUGGACGGAUACUGACGCUGAGACGCGAAAGCGUGGGUAGCAAACAGG